GAUUCGAAAUAACUCUCUUUCU
rnacentral:snRNA from 1 species